AUAAUGAUACUCCCCUAUAGCCACCGUCCGAGCGUUAAAAGCGUCGCAGGCAAUGGGUAGGGUUUCGGCAGACCGUCGAAAGGGUGAAAUUCCCGUGG
rfam:Anaerosphaera aminiphila DSM 21120 genome assembly, contig: EJ13DRAFT_scaffold00017.17